rnacentral:miRNA from 1 species
AAUUGCUGGCAGCACUGUUUA